GAAUUUUGGACAAUGGGCGAAAGCCUGAUCCAGCAAUGCCGCGUGCAGGAUGCAGGCCUUCGGGUUGUAAACUGCUCUUGUACGGAACGAAAAGCGUUGGGUUAAUACCCUGGACUCAUGACGGCACCGUAAGAACAAGCACCGGCUAACUACGUUCACGCAGCCGCGGUAAUACGUAGGGUGCAAGCGUUAAUCGGAAUUACUGGGCGCAAAGGGGGGGCAGGCGGUUUUGUAAGACAGAGGUGAAAUCCCCGGGCUCAACCUGGGAACUGCCUUUGUGACUGCAAGGCGAGAGUACGGCAGAGGGGGGUGGAAUUCCGCGUGUAGCAGUGAAAUGCGUAGAUAUGCGGAGGAACACCGAUGGCGAAGGCAACCCCCUGGGCCUGUACUGACGCUCAUGCACGAAAGCGUGGGGAGCAAACA
rnacentral:rRNA from 1 species